rnacentral:lncRNA from 1 species
UUUUUACUGUGAAAGUUUACAAUGUCGGCAUCGAAAUUUGCUAUAUUUUGUAUUGUUCUCAUUUGUCUUGCUAGUCUUCAUGAAUGUAUGUCAUAUAUAGCAUAUGUUCCAUCCAAUCCUCUAGCAUCAUUACCAUUAAAUUAAUAUUAAUAUACUCCAUCAUCUUUUAAUUUUGUUUUAUUCUUUAAACUUUCUGCAGGUGUCAACCCGGAAAGAAAGCCCAAAGGAACAUGCUCUAAAACACCAAAUAAUGUUUGGUGUUGCAGUUCCACUACACACUGCCGAAGCACCAAAGCAGAUUGUGAGAAGAUGUGUAUCUGGUAGUAUAUGGGGCCGUUGAGUUUUACCAAAGAGAAUUUCAAUAAUUAUAUAUUUCAAUUAUUUUCAUAAUUCUAUUAUUCAAAAUUUAAAGAAUAAAUAGAAAUUCCUAUUCCACAGGAGCAGCUAGUAUUAUGUACUAAAUGUUUUGGAAUUUCUUUGAAAGAUCAAUAUAUAUAGUUGUAACUUUCUUCAAUUUUAUUUAAGAAGUUUAUAAAUUUUAUAGAAAAUGAGAAUAAAACCACUGUACCUGUUUAACUGAAAUUUAAAUGUUGUAAGUACUUUGUAAAUUAAAUUAAAUAAAAAUACAUCACUUCAAAAUAUAUUAUAAAUUAUAUAAAUUAAUUAAUUAACACAUAAAUUAACAAUUUUCACCAUUCUCGGAUUUGACCGAUUCAAAAUAUAACACAAUUGUUUAAGAUAAUAAGAUAACGUUCUGUAAUCCAUAAGGGUGUGGGUCUUCUCAAACACUAAAAUUUUAUAAUAAAAGUUAAUAUAUAAAUUUUUUAUAAAUAUAACCAAAACAUUGUUUUGUUUCCACCAUGAACUUAAUCGCUAAUUAUUCUUAACCAUUCACAACAUUUUGAUAUGGUUUUAUCACUUUACUUGUAAAACACAUAUGCACUAUAUAAUCCAUAACUUAUAUACAUCAAAUUAUUUAACAAAAAAAAGUUGAAACCCAAAGUUAAGAUUAAUUAAUACAUAAGCCAAGAAAAAUUAUUUUUUAUUUGACAUAAAUAAUUUAUUUAAUAUUUGAAUGACAAAACUGAUUUUUUUCUAAACAAAUAAUAUAUCAUAUUUACACCAUUACUAAUUACAUAAUUUUUUAUUUUACAAUAACUGAAAACACAUAACUUGGUGUUUAUGUAUCUUAGAUGAAACAAUAUAUUAUUGUUAUGAACAAAGUUAUUAAUGAGAAAGGUUUUUCAUUGAAUUUAACCAUGAGGCUUCAAUAAUGCUUACGAUAUUACUGACAUUGCGAUCAUGUUUUAUCUUGGAAAACGGUGGUUUAUAGCACUAUUAUUAUUAUUAAAUUAUUCUCACGUAAAAUAUGUCAUUUUGAAAACAAUAAAUAAUAUAAUGGCUACCUAGGCGUUAGUUCAUAUUAGAUACAUAAUUUUUUUUUCUCUUAUGAUAGUCCUUACAAUAUUUUGAUUAUCAUAUAUAUUUCCUACGUAUAUCUAUGUUUGGAAAAUAAUAAUAAAAAUAUUUUUCUUUAUUUAUUUCACCAUAAAAAUACUUUUUGGUAAAUUAGAACUGUUAAGUAAAUUAGUACCUACAAUAACAUUUCACUUCAAUCAUUAUAUGUCCGACUUUCAUAAUAUAUAUAGAUGAAUCCAUUAAGAAUCGAAGACUCUAUUUUUCCAUCUAAAAUAAAUUAGAAAAAAAAAAUAUAGUAGCUACUCUUUGCUAAUUUAAUUUGGCUGCAUCUUUAGCUUUUAAAGUUACCCAUAUAUAUAUACAUAUGGCUGUACUUUUAGGUGGUGAUAUAUCCUAUCAAAAAAUAAAAUGAAAAUUUUGGAACUUUUUAACAUAAAUUUAUUAAAGUAAAAGGAUAAUAAAAGUAACCAAUAACUAUAUUUUCAGAUUCUUCGGAUUAUCAUGCGAAACAUUUUCAGGUACAUAUAUACAUGUUCACAUAUAAGGAUAUCGAUAAGAAAUUAGUAAAUGCUAAAAUUGGUAGCUAAUCUAUUGGUAGUUUAUUUUAUCCACAUAUUUAAUCGUUCAACGUUACAUAUAUAUAUAUGGUUGUCGUUAAUAGGUAUUUUUAGGUGCUGACUUAUUGUAUCAAAAACGAAAAUGAAUAUUUUAAAUAAAAUUUAACAAAAAUAUUUUAGGAUAUAAAGAAAAUAAAACUAACCAAUCAAUUGAAAACAGUUUUUCUGGAUAAUUCUAAAAAUAGUCAUCAAAGACCUAUAUAUAUGUAUAUGUUCAUACGUAAGGUUUCCUAAAAUACACACACAAAGCAUUUUUUUACUGUGAAAGUUUACAAUGUCGGCAUCGAAAUUUGCUAUAUUUUGUAUUGUUCUCAUUUGUCUUGCUAGUCUUCAUGAAUGUAUGUCUAUAUAGCAUAUGUUCCAUCCAAUCCUCUAGCAUCAUUACCAUUAAAUUAAUAUUAAUAUACUCCAUCAUCUUUUAAUUUUGUUUUAUUCUUUAAACUUUCUGCAGGUGCCAACCCGGAAAAAAAGCCCAAAGGAACAUGCUCUAAAACACCAAAGAAUGUUUGGUGUUGCAGUUCCACUACACACUGCCGAAGCACCAAGGCAGAUUGUGAGAAGAUAUGUAUCUGGUAGUAUCUGGGGCCGUUGAAUUUUAUCAAAGAGAAUUUCAAUAAUUAUAUAUUCCACUUAUUUUCAUAAUUCUAUUAUUCAAAAUUUAAAUAAUAAAUAGAAAUUCCUAUUCCACAGGAGCAGCUAGUAUUAUGUACUAAAUGUUUUGGAAUUUCUUUGAAAGAUCAAUAUAUAUAUAUAGUUGUCUUUCUAACUUUCUUCAAUUGUAUUUGAGAAGUUUAUAAAUUUUAUAGAAAAUGAGAAUAAAACCAUUGUACCUGUUUAACUGAAAUUUAAAUGUUGUAUGUACUUUGUAAAUUAAAUAAAAU